GGGGCCAGAUAAGAGAAUAAAAGCAGGCUGCCAGCGUUUGCUGCAGCAGCUCGCUGAGGUCUUUUUACCUGUAGUGGAAGUCUUGUUUUUUUUUUUGUUUUUUUUGUUUUUUUGCUGUUUGCAGGUAACUCUUGCAGCUGCUCGCUGUUUGGGUCCACACAGUCUUAAUGAGCUGUAACACGUGAAGGUCUGCAGCUUCACUCUUGAAGCUACUGAAACCAUAAACCCAUCAGGAGCAAUGAACAACUCCAGACGCGGCUUCUUAAGAGCUGCAAUACACCGCCAGGGUGUGCAGCCUCACUCCUGAACCAGUGAGACCACGAACCCACCAGAAGGGAAAAACUCUGAACACAUCUGAACAUGAGAAGGAACAAACUCCGGAUACGUUGCCUUUAAGAACUGUAACACUCACCGCGAGGGUCUGUGGCUUCAUUCUUGAAGUCAGACCAAGAACUCACCAAUUUGGGACACAGCUUACUUACCUCCCUUCCUCCUGAGUGUGGGGUGGCCUUAGUGAUUCACUGAUACUAGAACGUGUCAGAAGCAAAGGUGUGCAACUUCCAAGACUAGGUCGUAAAAGGCCUUGUGUCUUCCUCCUUCCUCUGUUCCUGGGUUCUUUCAAUCUGGAAAGCCAACUGCCAUGCCCUCAUAUAAGGGCACUUAAGCGGCCUUGGGGAGAAGACCACAUGGUGAAGAACUGAGACCUCUUGUCAACAGCCAGCUUUACCCUGGCUGUUGUGUGGAGAAUGAAGUGGAGAGAAGAGCAAGGAGGUACUGCCGUUAUCUAAGGGAGGAAUGAUGGUGGCUUGCACAAGGGCGGUGGCAGCACAGAUGGAGCAGAUCCUAAGGAAGACUUUGCUCAUCAUAGACCCUCAGAGACCAGGCUGAGGAAACUUCCAUCUCAGCAGGUGCUUCCACUAUGAUUAAGGCAGAGACAGGGACAUCAUGAAUUGCACGUUGACUCUGAAAGUUUCUGUCCAGAAGUGACGUGUCAUUUACUCUCAUCUUCAUAACCAUGUCCCAAGGAGGUGAGGAAGUCCUAACAUGUUCUUGGAAGGAGAGGAGAAGGAAGAGCUGUUAUCACAAGGGUCACAAAUGUAUAUAUAGUAACAGAAGAGCCUAAAUAACUAACACACAGCCCAGGCACAUGGUGAAACCCUGUCUCUACAAAAAAUACAAAAAGUAGCCCGGUGUGGUGGCAUGCACCUGUUGUCCCAGCUACUCAGGAGACUGAGGUGGGAGGAUCGCUUGACCCCGGGAGGCGGAGGCUGCAGUGAGCUGAGAUUGCACCACUGCACUCCAGCCUGAGUGACAGAGUGAGACCCUGUCUCAGAAAGAAAGAAAGGAACACAGACAACUGCCCACUGAGAAAGUACAGAGUGGACAGCAAGGGGGCCCUGGGCCAGCCCUUGAGGAACCCCACCAGCCUGACAGUGGACCUGAGCUGGUGAAGGAGGCUGAACGGGGCAACAGAGAGAGAGGUGAAACAUCUGGUAAGUUCAAUGAGAAACUUGACCAUCUGUGUCUAGUGUGAUUGUGGGUCAUGCAAGGUGAGGACUGGAACAACUAGGAUGUCACUGGCACCGCAGCAAGACUUAUGUCAAUGGAGUGAUGGAGGGGAACCCAGAAUGGAAUGAGCAAGAACUGAGUGUGAGGAGAAGAGACGAAAACGGGGAAUGUGGAAAAACCUUUCCAGAAGUUGGUCGUGAAGGGAAGGAAGGCAGUAACUGGAGAAGGUCUUGUGUUGGAGAGGGUUGGUUGGUUUGUUCUUUCAGUGGGAGAGACCUGAAAUGUUUAAAUGUUGAUGGGAAGGGUCUGGUUUGGAGGAAGUGGUUAAAUAUAGAAGAGAAGCGAGUCACCCAUAGUAUAAGGCUCCUGGAAGGUGGGGGCUGAAAGUUGACAAUGAAGAAUGCCAUGAGGUGGAAUGGGGAGGCCAUGGCAAGUGCCACAUCUUAGCAGGUGCAUAGUGAGAAAAGACACAGCCCCUGAGAGACAGGCUGAGACUCACUGGUCCCUGGGGCCACUUCCGCUCUGACUUCCAGUUCCAGUUCUGGUUCUUCUGCGUGUCCUUACAACAACCUCCUUUUUCCUGACGAUAUGUAUUCAUUCAACAAACAUUUAUGGGCAACCUACUACAUGCCAAGCCCAGUCCUGACAGCUGCAGAGAGGGCAGUCAGCAAGACCGAUGCCCGUCCCUACCCUCAGAAUCUUUUCUUGCAUCCGACGAAGCUGAGUGACCAAUCCCUUUGGCAAUACAGAUGCCCUCCAUUUGGAUUGGUUUAUGAGAGAGCAGCAAAUAGAGGCAACAGAUAUGAGGGUCAGAAGACAGUGCACUUCCCAUAACAGGAAGGGGGCUCUUGGACACAGCUCCUCUUCUGGAAGGUCUUGGGGGCUUUGUUGGGGGUAGGUGUCCAGAUGUGUCUCUGGGGCAACUGGAUGCAGAGAAUCGCUCUCUGCUGUGAAGGUGCUGAGAUGGGCACGUGCCUGUGCUGAAUCCUGUACAAAGAAAGCGAAAGAAACCAACAAAUUGACCCCACCACACACACACACAUAGAAACAUCUCCACUGUUUGUUUGCUGUUGCUGUUCUUUUCUUUUUUGGUGUAGAAAUUGAGCACAUACACAAAGGAAUCUCCACUGCCCAUCACUCUAGCUGCUGCUGACCUCUCCUCCAAACACUCCUAUCUGCUCCAUGUGUCCCAUUUGACUACGAGUCACGUACUUUCUCUAACAUCUUAGUUUCAGCUACUCAAAACCAGCACUGAUUCUGGUCUUUUCUGUUAUGUGGGCCCAUACAUUUCUUUCUAUACUUCAGUUUAAAAUGAAUUUUUUUGGCCAGGCAUGGUGGCUCACACCUGUAAUCCCAGCACUUUGGGAGACCAAGGUGGGACGAUCACCAGAGGUCAGGAGUCCAAGACCAGCCUGGCCAACAUGGUGAAACCCUGUCUCUACUAAAAAUAAAAAAAUUAGCUGGGCGUGAGGGCGGACACCUGUAAUCCCAGCUACUCGGGAGGCUGAAGCAGGAGAAUCACUUGAACCCAGGAGGCAGAGGUUGCAGUGAGCCAAGAUCGCGCCACUGCACUCCAGCCUGGGCAACAAGAGCAAAACUCCUUCUC